GCGCCGUCAAGUAUGGUAAACUUAUUUUGACCCACAGUUGGUGAAGGCAAAUGUUCUUUGCUGGAAAGCUGAGUAGGUUGUAUGUAGUUUAGACCCGUAGACUCUUAUUUCAUACAAGGGGAGGGACUACUAGAAGAAAGGAAGGAGAGGACCAGGGGAGAGAGAUAGGGGGGGAGAAAGAGACAGAGGUGGAGAGAUAGAGACAGCGAGGGAUAGAGAGAGAGAGACAAAGAAGGAGGAAGAGAGAGAGGCAGGCGAACAGAGAGAUCUGGCUGUAUGUUCACUUUGUGUGAAUCAGUUAGCGAGCCAGUCAGUCAGUCAGUCAGUGAGCCAGUCAGUCAGUGAGCCAAGCCGUGUAAACAGGAGUAAACGUGGGGAACCUCUCUCAUCCUGUUGAUGGAAUUCCUAGCAGCUCCAUGCUCUCCUCCCAGGCACUGAAACACACAGCAGAGAACAGCAGUCCAAAGGAUGCAAGUUUUCAAGUCCUUCCUGGGAAAACUGAAGCCRGAUUCAAGGAUUUCCAGAGGCAGCAUUGACCGGGACGACGGCAUCCUCCACGGACCAACAGGAAACCAGCACAUAUACCAACCCAUAGGCAAACCAGGUAAUGUCUCAGCCAAUGUAAUUCCAAGUUUACCUUACACUUAUUGUUUUCACUGUUCCCCUGGUUCUCCGACUCUAACUCUGACGGGCUCUGACUAGCUCUAACUCUGACGGGCUCUGACUAGCUCWAACUCUGACUGGCUCUGACACCAACUCUAACUCUGACUGGCUCUGACACCGACACCGGCUCUAACUCCGACCGACUCUGACACAGACUCGGACUAACUGACUGGCUCUGACACCGACACCGGCUCUGACUCCGACCGACUCUGACACCGACUCUGACUAACUCUGACCUGCUCUGACUAGCUCUAACUCUGACUGGCUCUGACUCUGACUGGCUCUGGCUCUGACACCGACACCGGCUCUAACUGCGGCUCUAACUCCGACCGACUCUAACUCUGACUGGCUCUGCCUCUGGCUGGCUCUGACUCUGACCGGCUCUGACACCGACUCUGACACUGGCUCUAACUCUGACUGGCUCUGCCUCUGACUGGCUCUGACUCU
rnacentral:lncRNA from 1 species